rnacentral:rRNA from 1 species
GACGAACGCUGGCGGCGUGCUUAACACAUGCAAGUCGAGCGAUGAAGCACCUUCGGGUGUGAAUUAGCGGCGAACGGGUGAGGAACACGUGAGAAAUCUGCCUUCAACUCUGGGAUAACUCCGUGAAAACGGGGCUAAUACCGGAUAUGAGAUCUACAGGCAUCUGUGGAUCUGGAAAGUUUUUCGGUUGAAGAUGAUCUCGCGGCCUAUCAGCUUGUUGGUGAGGUAAUGGCUCACCAAGGCGGCGACGGGUAGCCGGCCUGAGAGGGCGACCGGCCACACUGGGACUGAGACACGGCCCAGACUCCUACGGGAGGCAGCAGUGGGGAAUAUUGGGCAAUGGAGGAAACUCUGACCCAGCGACGCCGCGUGCGGGAUGAAGGCCUUCGGGUUGUAAACCGCUUUCAGCAGGGAAGAAGCGAAAGUGACGGUACCUGCAGAAGAAGCACCGGCUAACUAUGUGCCAGCAGUCGCGGUAAUACAUAGGGUGCAAGCGUUGUCCGGAAUUAUUGGGCGUAAAGAGCUCGUAGGUGGUUCGUCACGUCGGAUGUGAAACUCUGGGGCUUAACCCCAGACCUGCAUUCGAUACGGGCGAGCUUGAGUAUGGUAGGGGAGUCUGGAAUUCCUGGUGUAGCGGUGGAAUGCGCAGAUAUCANGAGGAACACCAAUGGCGAAGGCAGGACUCUGGGCCAUUACUGACACUGAGGAGCGAAAGCGUGGGGAGCGAACAGGAUUAGAUACCCUGGUAGUCCACGCCGUAAACGGUGGGCACUAGUUGUGGGGACCUUCCACGGUCUCUGCGACGCANCUAACGCAUUAAGUGCCCCGCCUGGGGAGUACGAUCGCAAGAUUAAAACUCAAAGGAAUUGACGGGGCCCCGCACAAGCAGCGGANCAUGCGGCUUAAUUCGACGCAACGCGAANAACCUUAC